CAGCCGCCGCGGUAACACGUAGGGGGCGAGCGUUGUCCGGAUUUAUUGGGCGUAAAGAGCUCGUAGGUGGCUCGGUAAGUCGGGUGUGAAAUUUCGAGGCUCAACCUCGAGACGCCACCUGAUACUGCUGUGGCUUGAGUCCGGUAGGGGAGCGUGGAAUUCCUGGUGUAGCGGUGAAAUGCGCAGAUAUCAGGAGGAACACCAGCGGCGAAGGCGGCGCUCUGGGCCGGUACUGACACUGAGGAGCGAAAGCGUGGGGAUCAAACAGGAUUAGAUACCCUGGUAGUCCACGCCGUAAACGUUGGGCACUAGGUGUGGGGUUCUAUCAACGGACUCCGUGCCGAAGCUAACGCAUUAAGUGCCCCGCCUGGGGAGUACGGCCGCAAGGCUAAAACUCAAAGGAAUUGACGGGGGCCCGCACAAGCGGCGGAGCAUGUUGCUUAAUUCGAGGCAACGCGAAGAACCUUACCUGGGUUUGACAUGUAGGGAAAAGCCAUAGAGAUAUGGUGUCCUUUUGGGCCCUACACAGGUGGUGCAUGGCC
rnacentral:rRNA from 1 species